GACGAACGCUGGCGGCGUGCUUAACACAUGCAAGUCGAACGAAGAGCGAUGGAAGCUUGCUUCUAUCAAUCUUAGUGGCGAACGGGUGAGUAACGCGUAAUCAACCUGCCCUUCAGAGGGGGACAACAGUUGGAAACGACUGCUAAUACCGCAUACGAUCUAAUCUCGGCAUCGAGGAUAGAUGAAAGGUGGCCUCUAUGUAUAAGCUAUCACUGAAGGAGGGGAUUGCGUCUGAUUAGCUAGUUGGAGGGGUAACGGCCCACCAAGGCGAUGAUCAGUAGCCGGUCGGAGAGGAUGAACGGCCACAUUGGGACUGAGACACGGCCCAGACUCCUACGGGAGGCAGCAGUGGGGAAUCUUCCGCAAUGGACGAAAGUCUGACGGAGCAACGCCGCGUGAGUGAUGACGGCCUUCGGGUUGUAAAGCUCUGUUAAUCGGGACGAAAGGCCUUCUUGCGAAUAGUGAGAAGGAUUGACGGUACCGGAAUAGAAAGCCACGGCUAACUACGUG
rnacentral:rRNA from 1 species